GGGCUGUGCGGCCAGCGACUGUGCUCGGGAAGUGCAUGUUUGUGUGUGUCCUAGGACUUGCUGAGGGUAGGGCUUUAGGCGAGUGAAUGUGUGACUGUAGAGCGCUAAACUCAGUUUGCCGCACCCCUUUACUGUGCUCUUGCUAGGCCUCUUCUGGUAUACCGGCCACAAGCUCUGUAAUCUCGUUAUUGUGCAAUUAAUAGCCUGUGAAAUCCUGACGUUUUCCUUGAACUUAAGUGAAAACUACAAGUACAUACAAACUGUUUUCUUAUUUUACAGUAUUAUUGAAAAUUGUGUCAGAAACCUUUGUACAUGUUAUCUAAAACUGUUACUAAUUUAGAAUUUAACAUUUUAUGCUCAAGUAAACAAAAUGUAUUUAUACUAAUUUUUUAUAUUUUAAGAUGGAUUUUUGACUGUAAAAUAGAAGGCAUGCUUUCUCAACCUACAGUUGCACCAUCUACAUCUAAAGAUGCUGAAAAAGGGAGUUCCCUUCUUUUUGAGUGGUUAGGAUUCUGGGCUUUCACUGCAGUGGCCCGGGUUCAAUCCCUGGUCAGGGAACUGACAUCCUGCAUGCCGCACGGUACGGCCAAAAAAAAAAAAAAAGAAA